AGCCGGGGAGAGUAGCAGCGGUGGCUGACAGCCGAAAGGAGUGGGAAGUGGCGGCUGCGUGCUUGGGCGGGCCUGGCCGAAGAAGGGCAGCAACGCCACGUUCGCGAGGGAGAUGCUGUGGGAAGUGACAGGAAUCUGAGCGGUUCCUCAGGAGAGUUUUUCCGACGGAAGUGACGUCUUACGGCGCGCGCCGCCGGUAGACUCGCCCCUUCGGAAGGCUCGGUAAGUAGGUGGCCGUCGUUCAACCUUCGAUCGUUCUGUUCGUAAAUACUGUUCUUACUGAGCAUGCCGGAUGCAGAGCCACCCGCUGCUCAUACAGUGAGACUGAGAUAUACAGAUCUUCUCUUCUUGGAACGUCUUGUCUAGUAUAACAUAGUAAUCAAGUAAUCAUGGUGAGUAUCUUCGAGAGGUUGGAGAAGGUUAUCCUAAGGAACUGCGGCUGCAGCUGAGAUAGUUCCACAUGGCUGGGGAGGCCUCACAUCGUGGCGGAAUGCAGAGCGUAUAGCCUGCAGUGAACGACGAGAGAGCAAUCCUGAUGACACACUUGGGAGAUGUGCACGUCCUGUGACUGAACUUUUCGGUGACCCUGGGUUGGAAGAUCUGCCCGGUAAGAAACCACUAUGAAGGAACAACACAAAAGUUACUCUUUACCGAAAAUGAUGAUUUUGUGGUGUUUCCUUUGGUUUCUUUAUCACAGUAUAUCAGAAGGUAGGGAGAAAGAGAUUAUACUGUCCUGGGUAAUUUUCUUAAAUAAUGAUGAGGAGGAUUUGGUGAAGAGAGGGUAAUUGGGCAGCUUAGAUAAUUUGCUGUGGAACUGAUGAAGUCUCCAUGACUGGAGGUAACCAUGCCUGGGCUUGGGGUUUGUAUUGUAUCCCCAAAAAGGUAUGCUGAGAUCCUAACCUCUUGUAGCUGUGAAUAUGAACUUAUUUGGAAAUAGGAUCUUGUAGGUAUAAUUUGUUGAGAUGUGGUGAUACUGGCUUAGGGCAUGAUCUAAAUCCAAUAUUGCUCACAUCCUUAGAAGAUAUGAAAAAGACACACAGGGAAGAACAGAAUGCCAUGAAAAGAUGGAGGCAGAGAUGAGAAUGAGAAGUCUGUAAACCAAGCAAUGCUAAGAAUUACCAGCAAGGACCGAAAUCUAAGAAAAAGACACAUAAGUUUUUUCUUCCCUCUGGAAGAAAGAAAUUAUAUCAACAUUUUGAUUUUUUAUUUCUGGCCUGCAGAACUCUGAGAGAGUAAGUUUAUCUGGCUUUUAGCCAAUACUUUGCAAUAAUUUGUUAAGACAACCUCCAAGAAACCAACACAGUGGGCAACUGCAACAAGAAAGCCUGAGACAGGCACAAUAAUCAGGUGCUCAGAUUCCUCACAGUUGAAAUUUUAUGUUUAUUUCACUGGGCUGAUAGAUUAGACAAGCAGAGUUUUUCAUGCAAACUAUGGCAGAAUGUAAGCAGAAUCUAGAAAGGGUGAUAAGACAACAAAGCUGGCAAAUAUCAAGGAUAACCUCAGGAUUAAUUACAACAGAGAACACUGUACUUUUCCUCUUUCACACCCAUAUGCUUUGUUUGCUCAUUUUUAGGUAAAUGUGUCCAGCAUGUUGUUGCUUUGGCAGCACAUAUGCCAAAAUCGGAAUGAUACAGAGAAGAUUAGCAUGGCAGCUGCACAAGUAUGUUACUAAAUUCCCUGAAGCAUUUUGUGUAUAUUUUUUAAUAUGUCCAGCAAAGACCUGGAAGAGGUUAUAGUGUGAAAAAGACAUGAACAUGAGGUUCAUGGAACUAUGAGCAGGAAAAAGUGCAGCCCACAACAGACAGGGCAGACCCUGGUGAUGCCCCAUCAAUGUUGUCUGGGUCAUCUCUUCUUUUUUUUUUUUUUUGUUUUU